UCUUCUUUUUUGUUCUUCUUCCUUCUUCUAUGUGGGAUUCAGUUCCAUGGAAUUAAACCUAAAUUUUAUGUAAACAAGUCACAGUAGUCUGGGUAACUUGAUGAAUUAAGGUAGAAGGUGAUGAUGUUGAUGUCGAUUUGGCUCUGGAAGAACAUAAAAAGGUUACUCUUUAUUAACAAAGAUCGACUGAAAGGAUGAACCAGUGGAUCGUGGAUCUCGAGGUAGGCUUGGAUUGUCAUCAAAUCAGUCUCAGUUUCCAGAUAAGACGAUGUACGUGAAGACUUCCGUUUCCGUAUCUUAGAGCUUUAUCGAUAUAGAGAUGCUGUGUAUCUUUUAUUAUAUGUAUCUUUAUUCUGUAAAACAACACAUUAUUGUAUUCAUAUCUAUCAGAAGGAAUUCAUCUAUACAAUGCCAGAGAAUUUGGGUUUUAUUGAUAGAAUUUUAUGUAAUUAUGAUUCUUAUGAUCAACAAUCUAGA